ACCAUGUCAUGUGCUGGGAUGAGGACAAGAGCUAAAUGGUGUCUAUCAUGCUUGAAGAUGUUGACCUCAAUGAAAGUUGUCACACUGGAGUAUGAAGGAGUGAAUGAGAAGUAAAGUGGGCUCUGAGCAACUGAUUCAUUCCAGCAAGCAAUUUGAAAAACAAGACAAAGAAGGCUUUUAAUUAUGAAGACCUGGAAUUGGCACAAAUGUGCUUUUCUGAAGUCAUAUGAAACUAUGAAACUGUUCGAAAGAGUAUUUCCCACCCAAUGAAUAAUGUUGUAAGCCCCCUGAAGGCAGAAACUAUAUUUUCAUGAUAUUUGUCCUCAAUAAAUCCUUGUUGGGUUACUGAAUCAUAUGUGAUGUUAAAGUGAAUAAAAUUGUAUAAUAAAGUCUUCAAACCAAAGGCCCUAUAGAA